rnacentral:rRNA from 1 species
UACGAAGGGGGCUAGCGUUGUUCGGAAUCACUGGGCGUAAAGCGCACGUAGGCGGAUGCUUAAGUCAGGGGUGAAAUGCCAAGGCUCAACCUUGGAACUGCCUUUGAUACUGGUCAUCUGGAGUCCGGGAGAGGUGAGUGGAACUGCGAGUGUAGAGGUGAAAUUCGUAGAUAUUCGCAAGAACACCAGUGGCGAAGGCGGCUCACUGGCCCGAUACUGACGCUGAGGCACGAAAGCGUGGGGAGCAAACAGGG